rnacentral:lncRNA from 1 species
AAAGCAAAGGACUGGAAGGCCGAGAGAGCCGUUUCCCAGCCGUUUUCCCACGGUCAGGUGCAGUGUCUGGGCUUGGACAGGUUUUGUCCGUUUCCUAGGCGCCUGCUCUUUUUGUAACAAAGGACGUUCCCAUUCUGUUCCUUUUCUUCGUCGUCAGUUUUGUCUAUUCCCAGAAACCAAGUGCAUUUUUUGCUCUUCUUUGUCCUGGGCACAAGAACUCUCUUUCUGAAAGUGUUUUAGGAAUUGGGUAUGGGGGGGGGGUGUGGUGUGGUCUGUGGCAUGAUGGGAGUGUGUAAGGUUUGGUGUGGUCUGUGGCAUGAUGGAGUGUGUAAGGUUUGGUGUGGUCUGUGGCAUCAUGGGAGUGUGUAGGAUUUGGUGUGGUCUGUGGCAUCAUGGGAUUGUGUAAGGUUUGGUGUGGUUUGCUGUUACCUGGAGGUAUAAGGAAUGACCCAGCUGGCCUCUAGAGGUCCCUUCUCAUCAGAGAAUCAUAGAAUCUCCAUAGAUUGUUCAGAGUAAGAAUUUUAUUCCAGGUUCUUCCACCAGACUUUUGCUUCAGGUAUCAGCGAUCUUGGGCUGUCUCACGGAGAGUUCACAUUGAACACAUUUCAGUGGAAACACCAGCCUGUGAGGACUCCACAAGCCAGUCUAUCUGGAUGCCCAGGCAUUGGGAGGUGAAUAGGUAACAGCUCAACCUAUUAAUGCCCUUCCUUGUUGUACUAGAAAUAGUGCCAUUGGCAUCUCUCCUGGGGAAACUUGAAAAAAUUUUAAGUAAUAUGAACAUCAUAUUUCUUUAAGUUCAGAGUCUCCACUAAAGGGUAAAAUGUAACGUUAUUCUUGCAUUCUUUGAGAUUAUUUUGCUUCUUCAGGAGUAGGUUGAUGGAAUCCUGCUAUAAUAAAUAAAUAAUGCCAUUAACAUCUUUUAAAUGGUCAAGUGAUAGUAUUUUUAGGAAAGGAAGAAUUG